GCCUCUGUAGCUCAGUUGGUUAGAGCGCUGCACCGGAAUCGCAGGGCCGUAGGUUCAAUUCCUUCCAGAGGAC
rnacentral:tRNA from 1 species